rnacentral:tRNA from 1 species
UUAAUUGAAACCAAAAUAGAGGUUUAUCACUGUUAAUGAUAAUAAUGUGUUUAAACACCGAUUAAA